CUGCCCCUACGGGACGCAGCAGUGAGGAAUAUUGGUCAAUGGGCGGGAGCCUGAACCAGCCAAGUCGCGUGAGGGAAGGCGGUCCUACGGAUUGUAAACCUCUUUUGCCGGGGAGCAACGGGGUCCUUGCGAGGGCCCGAUGAGAGUACCCGGAGAAAAAGCAUCGGCUAACUCCGUGCCAGCAGCCGCGGUAAUACGGAGGAUGCGAGCGUUAUCCGGAUUUAUUGGGUUUAAAGGGUGCGUAGGCGGGCUGUAAAGUCAGCGGUCAAAUGUCGGGGCUCAACCCCGGCCUG
rnacentral:rRNA from 1 species